rnacentral:rRNA from 1 species
CACGUAGGCGGAUAUUUAAGUCAGGGGUGAAAUCCCAGAGCUCAACUCUGGAACUGCCUUUGAUACUGGGUAUCUUGAGUAUGGAAGAGGUAAGUGGAACUGCGAGUGUAGAGGUGAAAUUCGUAGAUAUUCGCAAGAACACCAGUGGCGAAGGCGGCUCACUGGCCCGAUACUGACGCUGAGGCACGAAAGCGUGGGGAGCAAACA